rnacentral:rRNA from 1 species
UCUUCCCUCUUUCCUCGUGCCUAAUACAUGCAAGUCGAGCGAACAGACGAGGAGCUUGCUCCUCUGACGUUAGCGGCGGAGGGGUGAGUAACACGGGGAUAAUCUACUUAUAAGACUGGGAUAACUUCGGGAAACCGGAGCUAAUACCGGAUAAUAUAUUGAACCGCAUGGGUGAAUAGUGAAAGACGGUUUUGCUGUCACUUAUAGAUGGUUCCGCGCCGCAUUAGCUAGUUGGUAAGGUAACGGCUUACCCAGGCAACGAUGCGUAGCCGAACUGAGAGAGUGGUCGGCCACACUGGAACUGAGACACGCUCCAGACUCCUACGGGACGCAGCAGUAGGGAAUCUGACGCAAUGGUCGAGAGCCUGACGGAGCAACGCCGCGUGAGUGAUGAAGGUCUUCGGAUCGUAAAACUCUGUUAUUAGGGAAGAACAAAUGUGUAAGUAACUAUGCACGGCUUGACGGUACCUAAUCAGAAAGCCACGGCUAACUACGUG